rnacentral:rRNA from 1 species
CCUACGGGUGGCAGCAGUGGGGGAUAUUGCACAAUGGGGGAAACCCUGAUGCAGCGACGCCGCGUGAGUGAAGAAGUAUUUCGGGAUGUAAAGCUCUAUUAGCAGGGAAGAAAAUGACAGUACCAGACCAAGAAGACACGGCUAACUACGAGCCAGCAGCCGCGGUAAUACGUAGGGGGCAAGCGUUAUCCGGAUUUACUGGGUGUAAAGGGAGCGUAGACGGGUAUGUAAGUCUGGAGUGAAAGCCAGGGGCACAACCCCUGGAAUGCUUUUGAAACUGUGUAACUGGAGUACAGGAGGGGCAGGCGGAAUUCCUGGUGUAGCGGUGAAAUGCGUAGAUAUCAGGAGGAACACCGGCGGCGAAGGCGGCCUGCUGGACUGAAACUGACGUUGAGGCUCGAAAGCGUGGGGAGCAAACAGGAUUAGAUACCCUAGUAGUC